GGUAAGACGUAAUAUAUAAAUUGAGUAAAAAAUGUACAAGGGCAAGGCCCAUAACAGUAAGGAACAAAAACAAAGGACUCAUUGUCGAGUCCAGCCCAAAACAGGAGCUCAUAGUCUUUGCCCUAGACUAAUCUUAUCUCUAACAACAAAAACAUCCGGUGGCUUCAGAUUAGAGAGGCAGAGCCUCCUUUGCUCAGUCCGGUUCCAGUGGGGGUCUAAUGAAUGCUUGAGGAAGAUCCCAGUCAAGGACGAGUCUCUUUGCAAUGAUUGAGUCUUUAACCCUGAAAAGUUGGAGACGCUGCUUAACCAUGUUUGUGGUUUGCUUCAAAAUUUUUGAUUAUGAGCUUCUCUUGUGGUGGAAGAUCCUUUCAUUGCGCUCGGUCCAGAUCCGAUUGAUAGUGGUGGAGAGGACAAGCUUGUUGACUGAAUUCUGCAAAGAUCGACCCUCUAUUGGUGAGAUCACCAAUGCCCAGUUGACAAAUUCUUCCCAUGUGAGAUGCGAAGCAUGAAAUCUGCACUUGGACUAUAAGAAACUCCAAAUCGGUAUGGUGAAGGUGCACGAGAAGAACAAAUGAUCAUGGGAUUCGUCAACCGAUUGGCAAAGAAGGCAGAGUCUAGAUCCAGAGCAUGACUGCAUACAUCUUCUGUCCUUUGUAGAGAAACUAUUUCUAUACAGCCAGCCACAAACUGAUUUUGCACCGCGGGAUGGAGAAUGAGUUCCAAAUCAAGUAACUCCACUGUCGAGGUUGAUGAUGAGGAGUUAGCCAUGUAACUGUAUGGCUAAGCGAGAAAUCUCCAGAUGAUGAGGGAAUCCACACAUCCUUAUCAGGUGAACUGUUUGGGGGGUCAAGGAGCAGGAGGUCAGGGAAGUGUUGAGAGAUUAGAAUCGGGAAAUCCCAAUUAUUGUUUGCAGAGAAUGUGGAGAGCUUCUGUUCAACUGAAAUAUGCGAGCCCCUGAUGAAAUCCGAGGUUACUCUGAAGGCAAGAGGUCCACCUUGAAGCCAGUUGUCAUACCAAAAAAAGGUUUUUGAACCACAGCCAAUCUUUUUCCUGAUCAUCGACCUUGUCACCCAUCUAAGCUGUAUAAGCUUCUUCUAACUACUAGAAGACGCCCGAGGUGUGUUCAUAGUCCACAAAUUCCUACCUCGAAUUAGCUGCACCCUCACCCAUCUAACCUAAAUAUUAUCCCUAUGUAAGGAAACGACAUUCCAAAUAAGCUUGAGACAUCCCGCCGUGUUAGCAAUUUCCAAACUUUUGAAGCCUAGUCCACCAUAACUCUUGGGCAUGCAAACAGCAGGCCAAGUAAUCUUAGCCCCUGAAAACUUGAAGUCAGUCCCAGACCAAAGGAAAUUCUGUAGGAGUCCAUUAAUCUCUGUUAGAACUGAUUUAUGCAAAAGAAAUAGGCAUAUCCAGUAGUUGACCAUGCUAUAUAAAAUCGAUUGUAUCAAUUGGAUUCUACUCGCGUAAGAUAGGAAACUAGAUAACCAGUGGCAAAUUCUUCUUGUGACUUGCUCUAUAAGCUCUCUGCAGUCAGCCGCCCUUAAGGUAGUAGAAACAAGGGGAACACCAAGGUACUUGAAUGGUAACUCCCUCGGAUCAAAGCCCAGUAGGCACUUGAUGUCAUUUACCAUGUCAUUGUUCAUACCAGAACCAAAAAAAAAAAAUACCGACUCUUUUGAUUAUUGAUACAGAGUCCAGAAAGGGCAGUGAAGUGAUCAAUGGCAUUCUUGAGAGUAAAAAUAGAGGUCAAGUCCCCAUAGGAGAAUAGUAGAAGGUCAUUAGCAAAAGUAAAGUAGGAGAUGGCCAGAGUUCUGCAUCUAGAGUGAUAUUUGUAACAAUGAUUAUCACUGAUGUGUCUCUUUGUAAUAGAAGUGAAUACCUUCAUAACAAUAACAAAGAGAAGAGGGGAGAUGGGAGCACUUUGUCUCAGCCCUUUAACCCCGCUGAAGUGCCCUUGGAACUCCUCAUUAACAGAGAUAGUGUAGGAUGGUGUAGUGAUACAAGCCCUUACGCACUCAACAAAAGUAUCUGGAAACCCAAAGAGUGUUGAGGAAUCAAGUAUAAAAUCCCACCCGACAGAGUCAAACGCUUUCAUUAGAUCGACCUUGAUAGCACAUCUGGGAGGAACUAGGUGCCUGUGGUAGCCAUGAAAAAACUCUUGUGCUAAAAGAAUAUUGUCCCUAAUGUGUCGGCCCUUGACAAAUGCAUUCAGGCAUGGAUUAAUUAAUGAAGGUAGGGCUUGCUUAAGCCUAUUAGCUAUAAGCUUAGCAAUGCAUUUGUAGAUUGUGUUACAACAUGAGAUAGGGCGAAAGUCAUUAAGAGUUGAUCGGUUAGGUACUUUAGGGACUAGGGCAAUAUAAGCGUUGUUGAUUUCCUUCAGCAGUUUCCCACUCAAGAAAAAGGAUCUCAUUCCAUCAAUACUGUCCCUACCUAUGACUGGCCAUGCAACAUGAUAGAAAUGUGCAUUAUACCCAUCCGGUCCUGGGAUUUCUCUUUGUUCAGAAAAAGGAAGCAUGCUUGUAUUUCCUCCUCUGUGGGAAUGGAGACAAGCAUGGAAUGGAAGUGUAAUGGGAUGGUCUUUGUGAUUAGAGGUUGCAAGUGUGAAAUCCCAGAAUAAGGGGGAGGAGAAGAUCCUAGCAAAUUCUGAAAAUGGGAUACAAUCUCAGAAUUGAUAAGAUGAACCUAAUCAAUGGUAGUGCCAUCAACUGCUAUUAAACAUGUAAUUUUCCUCCUGUUGGUCUUGGAAUUGAAAACCUUAAAAAAAAGAAGAUGUGUUACUAUCCACAUCCUUUAGCCAUCUGAUCCUUGAUUUUUGCCUAAUAAAAUGUUCAUUAGAGAGGGAAAGUGCAGUGAGUUGUUGCAUUAGCUCCUUUUCUAGAAGUUUAAGGCUCAUAUCAAUAGGGUUAGCGUCCAACUGCUAUUGACAAGAAGAUAGAGUUUGCCUGGCCUGAUUGACCUGUGCAGAUGCUUGUGUAAUUUCCACUUUACAUCUUUGUUUGAUAAUCCCUUUAAGAGUCUUCAAUUUCUGAACCACUUGAAACAUUGGCGUUCCUCUGACAUAGGGAGCCCACACUUGCUCAAUUGCAGGCAUGAAAUGAGGAUUAGAGGCCUAAGUAUUGAAAUAUCUUAAAGGUAACUUCUUCUUUGGGGCAGAAGAGCCAAGCCCAACAAGGAUGGGCUGUGGUCAGAUAGACUGGGAGGUAGAAAAGUGCAAUCAGACAUAGGGAAUACCUUUGAUCGCUCUUAAUUAAUAAGUGCUCUGUCAAGCUUCUUCGCAAUAUUAGCAUAUCCUAGGCUUUGAUUGUUCCAAGUUUAGUGAAAACCUGUGUACCUUAGAUCGUCCAAUUUAGAUUCCAUCACACAAUCAUUAAAUUCAACUACUGCAUAAGACCUUCUAAGAGAACCCCCAAAAUUCCCAUGGCAGUUAAUAAUCACAUUAAAAUCCCCUAGGACCAGCCAAGGGGCAUCACAAAAUAGAAUAGCAUAUUGCUUGAUGGAGGCCGGUAAGUCCCUUAUUUCAAUAUAGGUAUUAGCACCGUAAACAAAAGAGAUGAAGCAAUGCUGAUUAUUAGGAAGAUACACAGAGCAGUGGAUGACUUGUCUAGUAACUAGCACCACUGAGAGUUUAAUUGUAUUUGGAUUCCACAGUAUCCAAAUUUUACCAAGAAUAGAGUAAUCAUAAUUAUGAAUGAUGGACUAUUUAGGUGCUACAAAUUUGUGAAUGGAUGACAUAUUAUCAUGGGAAACCCUUAUUUCCAACACGACCAGCAGAUCCAACUUGUGGGACCUAAUUAUUUCAUGCAGCUCAAGCUGCUUUUGGAGGCUAUUCAAGGCUCUUAUAUUCCAAGUAGCCAGACUAACCAUUAGAGAGGGACUUAGAAGCUCCCUUUAGGUGCCUAAUCCCUUUAAAGGGAAAUACAUGCAUAUGCAGCCCAUUCAUGGCCUUUUUCUUCUUACCAGUGUUUUUCUUUCUUUUUAAGAUGUUUGUGCAGGUCAUACUUUGAGAGGAGGAUGAGGAAAGCUAAUCAGAUUCUUCAUUAGAGGGGUCAGCAGGGCCUUGAGGAUUACCCUCUGCAAUCGAGUAGUGCCUGCUCAAGAGUUCCAAAUGUUGAGGACUCAGUGCUGUGUCAAAGCUCUGUUGAUCACAUAACAUGAGCCUAUUAUCCAGGUUGGCUCUUGUUAACUUUUUAGCAUGGAUGAGAGAGAGGUUUUUGGAUGGUGAACUAAGAUGUGAUUUGGUUGUGGGAGAUUGUGCUGGGCAAUGAAGGGAGUCGGCAAGAGGAGAAAAUACAUUGCUUGUGGAGAUAUUUGUGAAGGAUGAAGGGUUAGGCUGCACCUCGAAAUUGGUAAUGGGUGUGAUGGUUGUAGGUGUAUGAUCUUCAUUAGUUCCAGGAUGUCGUGGGCUGCUAGGAGAUGAUCUUCUCUUUCUUGUGGUACAGUAAUCCAAUCUGAUUGGGCCCGUGGCAAAUGAGCAGUAGCAGGGGUCCAUUCUUCAGUGGACAAAUGGAUGAGGGAUGCCCUACUAACCUGCAUGAUGUACAAAAUUUUGGGAUGCCCAAAUAUUCAACACGAAUCUCCUCAGUGCUACCAUCCCCAUUCUUCAGAGGGAAGGACUUCAAAAGUGGUUGGGGUGCCAUCUCUGGAGUUGCAUGGGUUUCCUUGUAAUAAAAUACGGCCCAGAUGCAAGAAUGGUUUCCUUGUUGAGGUUUGGUAUGAAGUGGCAACUUUUGUUUGACAAAUGGGUGGUCGACAUGUGUUCGAGCGUUGUCCAUUCAGCCUCGUUAAACACGCCACAUGCAAGUUGCCAGUGUGUUGGCAUCUCUAUCUUUUGCUGUUUGUUUCUCGGAAUUAUUCCACCCCUGGUCCAGAUUAUGAGCCUUUUUUUUUUUUUUUUUUUUUUUU